UACGUAGGGUGCGAGCGUUGUCCGGAUUUAUUGGGCGUAAAGAGCUCGUAGGCGGUUUGUCGCGUCGGCCGUGAAAUCUCCACGCUUAACGUGGAGCGUGCGGUCGAUACGGGCAGACUUGAGUUCGGUAGGGGAGACUGGAAUUCCUGGUGUAGCGGUGAAAUGCGCAGAUAUCAGGAGGAACACCGGUGGCGAAGGCGGGUCUCUGGGCCGAUACUGACGCUGAGGAGUGAAAGCGUGGGGAGCGAACAGG
rnacentral:rRNA from 1 species